rnacentral:rRNA from 1 species
GUUUGAUCCUGGCUCAGGAUGAACGCUGGCGGCGUGCCUAACACAUGCAAGUCGAACGAAGCACCUUUUGAGAUUCUUCGGAUGAUCGAUCGGUGACUGAGUGGCGGACGGGUGAGUAACGCGUGGGUAACCUGCCCUGUACAGGGGGAUAACAGCUGGAAACGGCUGCUAAUACCGCAUAAGCGCACGAGGAGACAUCUCCUUGUGUGAAAAACUCCGGUGGUACAGGAUGGGCCCGCGUCUGAUUAGCUGGUUGGCAGGGUAACGGCCUACCAAGGCAACGAUCAGUAGCCGGUCUGAGAGGAUGAACGGCCACAUUGGAACUGAGACACGGUCCAAACUCCUACGGGAGGCAGCAGUGGGGAAUAUUGCACAAUGGGGGAAACCCUGAUGCAGCAACGCCGCGUGAGUGAAGAAGUAUUUCGGUAUGUAAAGCUCUAUCAGCAGGGAAGAUAAUGACGGUACCUGACUAAGAAGCUCCGGCUAAAUACGUGCCAGCAGCCGCGGUAAUACGUAUGGAGCAAGCGUUAUCCGGAUUUACUGGGUGUAAAGGGAGUGUAGGUGGCCAUGCAAGUCAGAAGUGAAAAUCCGGGGCUCAACCCCGGAACUGCUUUUGAAACUGUAAGGCUGGAGUGCAGGAGGGGUGAGUGGAAUUCCUAGUGUAGCGGUGAAAUGCGUAGAUAUUAGGAGGAACACCAGUGGCGAAGGCGGCUUACUGGACGGUAACUGACGUUGAGGCUCGAAAGCGUGGGGAGCAAACAGGAUUAGAUACCCUGGUAGUCCACGCC